AUUUGAAUCACCUGAGGAUCUUGUUGAAAUGCAGACUUUAAUUCAGUAGGUCUGAGAUGGGGCCUGAGAAUCUGUAUUUCUCACAAGCUCCCCGGUGAUGCCAAU
rnacentral:pre_miRNA from 1 species